ACAGCAAUUCUGUAAAUAGCAUUUUGAGAAUUUGUGUUUCAUAUAGAUCCGAUUUGGAAGUCUCUGUUCCAACAAAAUAAUGCAGAUAUGUUUCCAUACGAGAAUUGCAGGAUCAAAAAGCCCUAAUUUCAAUUUUAUGAAUCACUCUUCAAUCUGAGGAUAAUUAAGCCACUAGAGUGCCUCAACUCUCAAGGCCCACUCGGCGAAGAAUCACGGAGCAGAUCAGCCUGACAUUACAGGACCUGCCACAAUGUCUCUGCGCACAAAAAUGAUUAAAUCCUCCGAUGAUAGCGAAGCAAAAGACUCAGCACAGAAACUUAAGGGGAUUGAGAUUAGUGUUCCGAUCGUCUAUGGUAAUGUUGCGUUUUGGCUUGGAAAGAAGGCUAGCGAGUAUCAGUCUCAUAAAUGGACUCUUUACAUUCGCGGGGCAACAAAUGAAGAUCUAGGUGUCGUAAUAAAGCGAGCAGUUUUCCAGUUGCACACGAGUUUUAAUAACCCAACAAGGGUGGUGGAUGCUCCACCUUUUGAGUUGUCAGAGUGUGGAUGGGGUGAAUUUGAAAUUGCUAUUACUCUUUAUUUCCAUAAUGAUGUUUGUGAUAAGCCAUUGCACUUAUACCACCAUCUAAAACUUUAUCCAGAGGAUGAGUCUGGUCCCCUUUCCACAAAGAAACCUAUUGUUGUUGAAUCAUAUGAUGAAAUUGUUUUAUCCAAACCUUCAGAGGCUUUCCUUGCUCGUGUGCACAAUCAUCCAGCAGUUGGUGUUCCCCGACUACCUGCUGACUUGGCUUUACCUCCUGCUGCACCAUUAGAAGAUGUUGAUAGAAGGAAGAGAGGUGACACUAAAGAUCAUCCUCUAAGCCAGUGGUUCACUAAUUUCUCUGAGGCGGAUGAGCUUUUAAAACUUACAGCAGCCCGCCAGCAGGUAAGUUACUUAGAAUUGAUUAGAUCCUUUUAACUCUCAUAAUUACAUGUCUAUUUGGCUGUUCUCAUAGACUAAAGAGGCCUAAGAACCUGAAAUAAUUUGAGAAAUCAUCUGGCUAAAGAAAGGUAUUCUAAUGUCAAGUGAACUCACAGAGCAUAGAAUAUUAUAAACUUAAGACUCCUCAAAAAAAUAAAAAAGACUCUGUUUUCCUUAAAACCUUAGAGCUCUAAUUACAAAACCAGGUCAUUGUGAUUGCUUGUAUUCAAUACUUGAACAUUAGAUGGAAUUUUUCUUUUGCAUAUGGCAUCCUUGUGAGACAAAUCUGGGAUUUUUGACCCGCAUAAUUGAACUUUUAGAUGCAAUUAUUUAUUGCACCUUAAGAGACAGUAAACAUGUUCAAGUCCUGACUGAUGAAUUGAGGCAGCAAUAAAGUUGAUGCUCUCCCCCACGUUUUGUUUUAUUUGAGUCUUGUAGGUACAAGGCCAUAUUGCCAGGUUGCGAAGGCAGUUGAGCAUGGUAGGUGGGCAGCACCAGCCGUUGAAACCGGCAACAGAGUUCUGAAA